rnacentral:ncRNA from 1 species
UUAAAUUCGAUGAAAAAGAAAGUAGAUAUAAUUCAUGUUUCAGCGAGCUAGGGUUGGUGGAAGCCUGGCAACAAUGUUUGUAUUGAAGAGAGCUUUGGAGAAGAAUAUCUGAAUUAAUAGUAGGAUAUUAGGUAUGUCCCGCCUUAAGGGAUUAGAGUGGAUAAGUUUUAUUCGCAGCAAAUUUUGAGCAACGGAUUUGUCUGAAGCGGUAGCGAAGACAUAUCGUUGGCGAUAUGAGCAAAGCGAAUUUUAUCAAUUAGAGUGGUAACGCGGAAUAUUUCGUCUCUUGG